UGUGGUCAGGUAAUAUAAGAGCAUGCCCAAAC
rnacentral:piRNA from 1 species